rnacentral:rRNA from 1 species
CCAACAAAGAGAGGCAAGACCGCGAGGUGGAGCAAAUCUCAAAAAGCCGUCCCAGUUCGGAUCGCAGGCUGCAACCCGCCUGCGUGAAGUUGGAAUCGCUAGUAAUCGCGGAUCAGCAUGCCGCGGUGAAUACGUUCCCGGGCCUUGUACACACCGCCCGUCACACCAUGGGAGUCGGAAAUGCCCGAAGCCGGUGACCCAACCAAAAGGAGGGAGCCGUCGAAGGCAGGUCUGAUAACUGGGGUGAAGUCGUAACAAGGUACC